UCUGAUGUACAUACCUACAACAUAGUGUUAAUGCACUGGAUCCCAUUAGAACUUCACAGUUAAGCGUGCUUAGGCUAGAGGAGUACUAGGAUGGGUGAUCGCCUGGGAAGUCAUGCAUCAUGGGAA
rfam:Picea glauca, whole genome shotgun sequence.